ensembl:snRNA U6 U6 spliceosomal RNA
AGUGUAGCUUGGAUGCUUAUUUUAGCAGACAUACACUAAACAAAUAUUAGCAUGGCUCCUGCACAAGGAUGACAUGCAAAUUCACCAAGUGUUCCUUAUCUUU